UGAUCCUGGCUCAGGACGAACGCUGGCGGCGUGCUUAACACAUGCAAGUCGAGCGAGGCCCAUCCUUCGGGGUGGUGCCCUAGCGGCGAACGGGUGAGUAACACGUGGGCAACCUGCCCUCAGCUCUGGGAUAACUCCAAGAAAUUGGUGCUAAUACCGGAUGUGACCGCUGACCGCAUGGUCUGGUGGUGGAAAGAUUCAUCGGCUGAGGAUGGGCCCGCGGCCUAUCAGCUUGUUGGUGGGGUCACGGCCCACCAAGGCGACGACGGGUAGCCGGCCUGAGAGGGUGACCGGCCACACUGGGACUGAGACACGGCCCAGACUCCUACGGGAGGCAGCAGUGGGGAAUAUUGCGCAAUGGGCGAAAGCCUGACGCAGCGACGCCGCGUGAGGGAUGACGGCCUUCGGGUUGUAAACCUCUUUCAGUAGGGACGAAGCGAAAGUGACGGUACCUACAGAAGAAG
rnacentral:rRNA from 1 species